UGCUGCCUUGAGAUGCUUGUUGAGCUAUAUUUGGCUGCAGUAUCAACUACAGCCAGCGAGAGUGCCCAGAGCAGCUUUACUCACCUUGCUCCUAUGUGCAGAGUAGCCCAGAGCCUCCAUACAUCAAAGUUUUAUACUUCUCUUCCAGUGUUUCCAAGGGAGGACAAGGUCUGCCACGGCGUGGACUAAGGGCCAGGCUAAGCACAGCCGUGUGCUGCAUGAGUGAAAUGCACCAAGACAGAUCACAAGUUCCCUCUUUGCAGGGCACCAGGGCUUUAAAAAUUCAUCCUGUUUCUCUCAUUGCGUAUUCAGUACCUCUGUACGCAAUAGCUGCAUUCAACACAGCCUAAAACAUCUCUUUACAAGGUGUGGGAGCUGUCAGUUUAAUCUAGUUAAAAAUAAAAGGACUAAAAAUG